GGACAGAGGACAGAGGACACACAGUUUAACAUGAUGGACUAUAGGACAGGACUGCUGCUGCUCACUGUCUGCUGGGCAGGUGUUGAUGGUCAGACUCUGACAGAAUCUGAUUCAGUGACUAAAAGGCCUGGAGAAUCUCACAGAUUGACCUGUACAGGCUCUGGAUUCACAUUCAGUAGCCACUGGAUGGCCUGGGUCAGACAGGCUCCUGGAAAAGGACUGGAGUGGGUUGCUACUAUGCACCCUACUAGCAGUGCCCACAUUUACUACUCUGAGUCAGUGAAAGGCCGGUUCACCAUCUCCAGAGACAACAGCAGACAGCAGGUGUAUCUGCAGAUGAGCAGUCUGACGGCUGUAGACUCUGCUGUUUAUUACUGUGCUCGACACACAGUGACUGAAGCUGGUUGAGCAGCUGUACAAAAA